rnacentral:rRNA from 1 species
UGACACGUAGGCACCAAGCGUUGUCCGGAUUUAUUGGGCGUAAAGAGCUCGUAGGCGGUUCGGUAAGUAGGGUGUGAAAACUCUGGGCUCAACUCAGAGACGCCACCUGAUACUGCUGUGACUAGAGUGCGGUAGGGGAGCGGGGAAUUCCUGGUGUAGCGGUGAAAUGCGCAGAUAUCAGGAGGAACACCAGUG